rnacentral:lncRNA from 1 species
AAUCCCCCAUUUUAUAAACCACCGGUAGAGAAACCACCUGUGUAUAAACCACCAAUAGAGCAACCUCCAAUUUAUAAGCCACCUGUAGAAAAUCCUCCAAUUUAUAAACCACCAGUAGAGAAACCACCCGUGUAUAAACCACCGUUUGAGAAACCUCCAAUCUACCAUCCACCAGUAGAGAUACCACCAGUGUACAACCCACCAGUUGAACAUCCUCCAAUUUACAAGCCUCCUGUAUACAAACCACCAGUAGAGCAACCUCCCGUCUAUAAGCCACCAGUAGAGAAGCCUCCAAUUUACAAGCCACCAGUAGAGAAACCUCCUGUUUACCAACCUCCUGUUUACAAGCCCCCAGUUGAGAAACCUCCAGUGUACAAGCCACCUGUAGAAAAGCCACCAGUGUACAAGCCACCUGUAGAAAAGCCACCAGUGUACAAGCCACCUGUAGAAAAGCCUCCUAUAUACAAACCACCAGUAGAGAAACCACCAGUGUACAAACCACCCGUUGAGAAACCCCCGGUUUAUAAGCCACCAGUAGAGAAACCACCUGUGUACAAGCCACCAGUUGAGAAGCCCCCAAUUUACAAGCCACCAGUAGAGAAACCACCUGUAUACAAGCCACCAGUUGAGAAGCCUCCAGCUUACAAGCCACCAGUUGAGAAGCCACCUGUAGAGAAACCACCAGUGUACAAGCCACCGGUUGAGAAGCCCCCAAUUUACAAACCACCAGUUGAGAAGCCUCCAGUGUACAAGCCACCGGUUGAGAAACCACCUGUCUACAAGCCACCUGUAGAAAAUCCACCUGUUUACAAGCCACCAUUUGAGAAACCUCCAAUUUAUAAACCGCCAAUAGAGUAUCCACCCGUGUACAAGCCCCCUUUUGAGAAACCCCCCAUCUACAAGCCACCUGUAGAGAAACCUCCUUUUUACAAGCCUCCGUUUGAGAAUCCACCAUUUUAUAUACCUCCAGUUGAGGAGCCUCCUGUUUACAAGCCUCCAUUCGAGAAGCCACCAAUUUACACUCCUCCAUUCUAGAGCCCACCUUACCACCCAAAGUUCCCUCGGGCAGGCGAUGGUACUCGUUAAUAGAACAUGCUAUGAAGAAAAUAUGUUAAAUAAGAGAUAUAUAGAGUUUUUUAUUUAAUCAAGGAAUAUAUAUAUUCAUGUAAUCUUCAUUUCAAUACUUUGUUUACAAUACUCUUGCUAUGAUAAGAAUAUGAGUGAAAAACAGAGAAAGAAAAUAGUGUGCUUUUCUAUUCGAAAUUAUGAAUAAGAUUUCUAUGAUUUAGAUGUUGUGUUGGUUGACUAAAUCGUGAUACAUCGACAGAGGCAGAGCCCCUCAUGCGCCAAGGUGGGUCAUGGCCCACCCCCAAAUUUUGUUUCUUAUUAUAUAUAUAUUAUGUUUUGUAAAUUUUUGAUGUUUUUGUAGCAUGUUGUAGUGGUUAAGAGCCUUUUUGCCAAGUCGUAUGUGCUAGGUUCAACUCUUGCCAAAACCAUUUUUAUUUAUUCUUUUAUUUUCUUUUGUAUAAAAAAAAAACAUAAUUCAUAAUUGUUAAAAUAAUCCUUUUUUUUGUUACUUAAUCCUUUCUUUCUUUAAUAAAACAUAACUCCUUUAUUCGAUUUAAAAUAAUCUUUCCUUUCCUUACUCUUAUUUUUGGAUACAAUUGUCUCUUUACUCUUUUAUUUUAAUUUUUUUUUUAUACAAAGGGGACUUCAACUCUUUUUUGUCAAAAAACAUUCUCUUUUAAAACAUAUAACAUAUUUUUUAUACUUAGUCGUUUGAUUCAAUUCGAUUUUAUACCUAUACAUCUGUUUAUUGAAGUCGAGUCAUUUAAUUCAGUCGUUAGGUUCAAUGGCCUAGUUGUUCGAUCAAUUAUCUUGAACUUUAUCAAGGUUGAUAAACAGUUCAUAUUUUAAAAUACCGGUUUAAAUUAUAUUCAACAAAUAACAAAUUUAUAGUCAUUGGAACCAACCAAUAAUAAAAUGUACUUGUAAGAAAAUAAAGCCUCAUCACUAUUUAUGGCCCACCCUAUACUUUUUUCCUAGCUCCGCCACUUUACAUCUUCGUAUUCUUUAGGAAGUUUCAACCUUGUUGACUAUGACAACAGUGACGACUAUAACGAGACUCGCUAUUGACUAUGACAACAGUGACGACUAUAACGAGACUCCCUACUUUUUGGUUUGCUUCAACAGGUUCUCAACAUAAAUAACUAACCAAGUUAAUUUGCCUGUGAAAUGUGAUAUUAGUAAGGUGCAUGAAGGUUAAGUUCUUUAGCAAAGCUUAGUAUCUUGAAUUAAAGAAUAUCGUUAAUUAAACUAAAUAUUCAUAUUAGGUAUCACAAUUUUCAAGACUUUAUAUGUACGUGUUGAUCCAUUAAUUAAGAGAAAUUAGACUUUAGACCCGUGCGUCGCACGGGUCAUUUCGACUAAUAUAUAAUAAUAAGUAAUGGUAAAAAAAAUUCUAAAAUAAAUAAAAGAUGAAGAGUAUUAUACAUUUUACUUACUCAAGUUCAAAAAAUAAAGUAGGAGAUGACAUGAAAUCGUUUAGUUGAAACAAACGAAUAUUAAAAAAUAAAAAUUAGACAACGACAGGGAUCUAAAAUUCUAUUUCUAAUCCUUCACAUAUCAAAAUUACAAUUGGUUCUCUUCAUUGUAAUCAUCUAAACUUAAUUAAAAAAUUUACAAGUGCAAAUAGAAUCGACAUUAUACAAGUCACUACUUGAUUCCAAAAACCUAUGUUUCAUGAAAACCACUCAUACCUAAAUAACAAUAAUAAACCUUCAAAACAAAAAUCAACUAUUCUCAAAGGACCCAAAAGAAAGAUUUUUAGCCUUCUAAAUCACAAUUUCUCUUGUUGUAUUGUUUUUGUGUCAAAAGCACCAUAAGUUGAAUAGUAGGCUCAGACACAUGACUUUCCUCAUAAGACAAAAUCACCAGUUUUUUAUAGGUUGAAAAAAUAAAUCAAAUAUCCUUAACUUUCAAUAACGCUUAGAAACAACUGAAACUUUUGCAUUAUCUCAAUCCACAAACAAAAUUGAAGACCUUUAUAUUUGCUUUAGGCACCUUAAGGAAUUCUAUGUAAAUUGUUUUCCUGCAAUGAAAUGCUAAACACAAUGAGCAAAGAAGAAGAAUUAACAACAAUAUUUGGAUUGUUUUAUUUAGCUUACAAUUCUUUAAACUAAUCAANAACACAAUGAGCAAAGAAGAAGAAUUAACAACAAUAUUUGGAUUGUUUUAUUUAGCUUACAAUUCUUUAAACUAAUCAACAAAAAAUUAAAUUUGCAUUAUAUCCUCCACAAUAUCAAGAAUUUUUCAAAGGGAUCAUUCUAUUUGUAUGGCUAUGAUGAGAACUCAUGUGUGUCCAUGAAGACCAGCUCUACGGAUAACCAUGUUCAUAUUAACUAUUUUAGGAGUGAAAAUAGGAUUGGAUUGGAUUUAGUAGUGAGCUGUUGUUUUUGAUUUCAGAAGCAUUUGAAAAUAACAUUUUGAUUAAAUGGAAAUAAUAGGAAGAAUUUGUUAAUAAAAGUGAUUUUUUUUUUUUUUUUUAUGUUGAUCUUUUUAUUGUUGUGUUAGAAACAAAAUAGGACGAAAUUGUAUUUUUUUUUUUAUGUUUAUCUUUUUAUUGUUGUGUUGGAAACAAAAUAGGAGGAAAUUGUUAUAGGAAUAGGAGGAACGAUUUUUAAAGUUUAUCUCUUAAUUAAACAGGUUUAAUUGAACACGGGGGUAAUAACGUAAAAGUCAUCAUAAAAUCUAGGUUAAAAUUAGGUUAAAAAUUGGCUUACGGGUUAACUUUUAUAUAUAAAGAAGUCAAGAGAAUCUAGAUCUGUGAAGCCCCGAUACUUCAAAAUGGAUGAUGUAUCGUAUCCGCUGCGUAUUCUGUAUCGAUACCUGCCCGAUACUUCUCAAAUUUAUGAGUUUUAUUUGAUUCUUCGAAUUCGAAUUUUGAGAAUUUUAGGGUUUGAAGGUUGGUGAUGGAGGUGAAUCUGAGUUUAUAUUAAGAAUUGAUGAAGAAUUUAAGGAGAGUGCAGUGAUGGAUAGGUAACUGAGUAUGAAUUGGUAUGCAGUUUGGAAAAACAAAACAAGAGGCAGUAGCAGCACCCCCACCCUUCCUCUACUUCUUCGACAAUAUGAGUGUUAGAUUCAUUUUCCUAGGUGUGAUUUUGAGGCAGAUGAAUAUGUGUGAGAGAUUGUAGAGGAAGAUCUCAGAUAUAGCUUUUAGGGAUGAACAUGAAUGAAUGAAUUUGUAGAUGAAGAUGAAUGUUGUUUGAACAUUUAAUUAAGAAAUUUUUAAUUGUUUUUUGUUUUAAUAUUUGAAAUUAUUAAAUUGUAUUUUGAAAUUCAAAAAACCUGUUUUAAUGACAUGUAAAUGACAUUUUCCAAAUUGGCAAUGCCACAUAGGCAAAAUUUUACCACCUGUGCAUUUUUGGAUGUGAAAAUAGGGGGUAAGACUAAAACUGCAACAAAAAUGAUAAUUGAAAAACAAUUUUAAUCUGUUUUAAAAGGGCAGGACCAAUUUCCUGAGUAGGCCACAACACGAGGACCAAAAGUGUAAUUAAGCCUUAUAUUUAUGUUGAUGUGCUACAAGCUUAUGACUGGUUUCUUUUGUUUGAUAAUAUAUUUGCAUAUUAAAUAAAAUGGUUAUAAUUAUAUUCUACAUUUAAUUAUAUAAUUUUUUUAUUGACGUAUCCCAACCAUAUCGUAUCUUGAUUUUUGAAAUUUUUUCGUAUUGACGUAUCGGUGCAGUAUCGUAUCUCGUAUUCGGGCUUCAUAGAUCUAGACUAUUAAUUUUUUUGAUAAACAAGAUUAUUAUUAUUUUUUGACAAAAACAAAGUGAGAUUCAUUCAUUCAAAUUGAUAGAGUACAUCAGAUACAAACAUUGCUAAAAACGUAAAGGAUAAAUCUAUGAACAAACUCACAACACUAAAGUUCAUACAACAGCAAAAUGUCUACAAAUAAUAUGAUAAAAUCUAAGUCACCAAAAUAUUCAUGCUUCCGGGUAUGCAACGUUGGCGCCCAAAUCAUUGAUUGAAUUUGUAAUUGACUAAUGUCGAUCUUUCAACAUGAACUAAACGAACACCGCGUCAAGACGCGAAAUCAAACAUCACAUAAGACCACUAACAACACAAUGCCACAAUUAGAUGACGAAAUCACAAAAACUCAAAAGGGAAAACUUGAUAUAUGUGAAAACCAUUUGUUUAGAUCGAAAGAAAAGAGAAAAAACGAUGUAGAGGGGUGAUUUUAGGUCAAAAAUGACCUAAAACCAGUUCUUUUUAAUAAACGAAGGAGAAAGAAUGUUUAGAGAGAAGUUGGAGUUUUUUUUUACUUAAAAAAUUAGGAUAAGCAAAAUUAUUAUAGAGGGAUAAAGGGCUCCCCAACCCAUAUACAAAAUGAUGGUUGCAAUGCCAUGUAGAAAAUAAAAAGAUAACAUUGCCUUUCUUUUUACAAUUAAACUAGUUACAAACCCGUGCGUUGCACGGGUUUAAUAACGUAUUUUAUAAAAAAAAAAUCUUUUAAAAGAAAAAUGAGCAAAUUAAUGAAUAUUGCACAAACAUUAUAAAUCUUUAUCAAAAUAUUUAUGAAAGCUUUAUCAAGUCUUUAAUACACAUUAAUAUUUGUGAUGAUUGAUAAAAGAAUUAAAAAGAGUAAAGGGUAUAGAAAUAAAUUUAUUAAAGAAUUAACAAUUUGUUUAAACUUAUUUUUGUUACAAUUUAGACCAAAAAAAAUAUUGGACUUCAUUGAGUUUCUCUAUAAUUUUUUUAUCAGGCUUGAAGUUAUGACUCUGAGUUUGAAAACCGCAAAAUUCACAAAAAUUAUUGAAGAAACACUAUAAACAAAUAAACGGCAUCGUCAAAAAUGAAAUCAUAUUUGGCUAUAGUGAUCAAGCAAACAAAAAAAAAGAAGCAUAUUAAAUACCUAUAAUCAAUGGAUUCUAAUUGCAUAGAGGCGACACUUAUACUUUCUCUAUGUUUGUUCAUCAAUGAGAGUGAUUAUUUUGCGCUUUCCUUUCAGAAUUGUUCUUGACACCUAGUUUGGGAAAUGCUAAACAGGGAAAUAACUGUAAUAUUAAUCUAAUGCAUAUUAACAUGGAUAAGAUGUAUGCGAAUAUAGUUAUAUAUAACUUAUGAAAUGAAGGUAACAUAACUGAUUUUAAGCUAAAGAAAAUGUACCAUGACUUCUAAUUUAUCUUUCUAUUAUCUUCCUAUAAAGUCUAGAGAAAUGCAUGCAUGUGCAUUAUAUGUACCCCGUUGACCAAUUAACAUUUUUGAAACAAAUGAAAAUUAAGCAUCACUCCCGCAUGUGCAUCUAUAGCUAACACCAUUUGACAUUGAUGUCUUCGAACAUUUGGUGCAACUCUCAUAAUACCAUCCAAACUGGUUAGGAUUGAAUUUAGUUGUUUUUCCAAAUAGUGAUGGAGUAUGUAUCCUAACACAAAUUAUGCACGUGAAAUAAAGAAUAGUGCAAUAUGCAUUUUUAAUUUGUGCGUAAAAAAAUUCAAAGCAUGUUUGUGAAAAAAAAAAAAAAAAACAGACCUUGACUAAGUUUAUAGAUUCAUCAAUUGGCCUAACUUGAGACAGAUUGGAAAAAUCGUUCUACGAAGUACUUUUUAAACUUUACUUUUUAAUCUAUCUGAGCUUGAGAAGUGUUAAGUUCACGACAACAAUUCAAGAAACAUGGUCAAUAAACAAUCAAAUCAGAUUGUGAAAUAAUAAGUUACUCUAACACUGUAUUGUGAAAUCAUAAUGCAAACUUACUAAGUCUUAAACUUUUCAACAACCGGAUGAUGUAGGUUGAUGAGCAGCCUCGAACCUGACCAAUUGUUACAUCUAUUUGCGUUGUCAUUGACUACAAAAUAGAAGCAAAGAAUUCAAGGUAAAUAAAUGGUAAAUGAUAAAGCUACAAAGUAUUUUACCCAUAAUGUUACAUCAACUAUAUUCCCAAUGCUCUAAAUCUCUAUAUCGAGUUAUUACAUGAACUCGAUCACCCUAAAUCCGAGAAAGAAACCAAAAAAUAUAAAUAAAUCAAAAUGUAUACUAAUAAGUAACAUUGAUAAAUCAUAAAAGAAAUUACUACAAAUCUUAACUAACUUAUCUAACCUUUGCAUCACAAAUAAUGAGCUUCAUAUGUUGAUUCUCAUUACUACCAGUCACAAUUCAAGAAUCCAGUACUCCAAAUCCUAUUUUCCAAACGUCUAAAUCAUUUUUGAGAUACUUAAUGUAGUCAUAAUCCCUUGACAUUGAAAUUCAUAUAUAGAAAUACAAUAAUACAUCAUUUAAUUUUAUUCCCUUUGUUCAUUCUGAUAUCGAAAGAAGCUAACAUAUUUCUAUGUGAUCAAUUUUUGUAUCAUCAAAUUAACCUGAUCUUAAAUGUACAAAUUUCUAUCAUCAACUUUCUGGACCCCAAUGAUAUGAUCAAAACAAAUUUACACCAAUCAACUUUUUGCACGGCUCAAUGAUAUACGAAAGAAUAAAUAAAAUAUGAAAACUGUUACAGCUUUAGGAUUACUCACAAAAACUAAAAUAAUUGAAAUGCAUCAAUUAUUUUCAACUCCUGUACCAGAAGCUAAAAUAACAAUUGUGUCAAAACCUUACCAUCAGUUAAAAUUCAGUCAUCAUGACCUCUACUAUACUCCACAUAACAAAAGACGAUUUUUCUACAGCCAUGCAACAUAACAAAUUUUGGUACAUAAUCCAAUAACAAUUGGAAAAAAAAAAAAAAAACCCUUAAAAUGCAUAAUCAUGAAAAAAGGAAGAAAACCAUCUAUGAUGAAGCAAAAACUAAAACGGUGUCGAAAAAUGAAGCCCUUAAGCCAUAAAAAUCAGUCAACUCAAGUCAUGCAUGGUCUCAGAACCAUGAAAAAAGAUAGAAAAUGACCUUUUUUUUUUUUGUGGUGGCCGGGGUUUGAACUCCGGACCUUGCAUAUUUUAUGCAUUGUCCUACCAACUAAGCUAAGCUCACGAGGACGAAGAAAAUGACCUCUUAUGAAGAAGAAAGUGAAACAGUGUUCCCGACUGAACUUAGAUACCGUUUGGUCAAGGUUUUUUACAUUAUAAAAGUUACUUCAAAACAAAGUAAAAAUAAAGGCCUUUAUGAAAGAAACUAAAGUUAUUUGGUUUUUUUGUUUUGUUAGUUUUAAAGCUAUUUAAGUUUAAUGUUGUUUGGCAAAAUAUUGUACAAACUUUGAAUUUAUUAUUUUUUAUAUGGUGUCUGGGGUUCGAACUCCGGACUUGGCAUGUAUUUAUGCAUUGUUCCUAUCAACUGAGCUAAACUCAUGAGGACAAAACUUUGAAUUUAUUAUUAAUUAACAUAAUAAAUAAAUAAAAUGUUUAGAAUAAUUUAUGAAGGCUAAAAAUGUUAAAAAAAUAAAAGAUAUUUUUUUUACAAAUACGAUAUUUACUCAAUAACGUUUAUUUUGUGUAACAUGAAUACAAAUUAAUAUCAUCAUAUAAAUAACUUGUUAAAUAUUUGAAUAGGAGAAACAAUUUAAGGAGUCUGGAAUAAUAAUAUAAAUAAUAUCAAAAUAUUUGAUUUUUUCUAUUUCAAUUAUACUCUAUAACAAAUUUCGUUAUAAGAAUACCAUAUUUUUUGUGUCUUUCAAAAAGAUAAGAAUUUAUAUUAUAUGAUAUUAUAUUUGUUACAUUGUUGGUGUCAUGGAAACAGAUAUGUUUAAUUUUUUUGAACAUGAAAAUGAUAUGCAUAGUUUGUUACGAUAUAAAGGUGCAAUAUAUAUAUAUAUAUACACCUUUUUAGGCAUCUAUACCUUUUUUUGAAGAAAAGACAUCUACAAUUUUACUUUUAAUUAAAAUUUAAAUUUUAUAAAAAUAAUCAUACGCAUUAUGCAACGCUAAAAAAAAUUAUACACAUUAGCGUAACAAAAAAACAGACACACAUAAAGAAUUACUCUAAACGCUAAUGUGUAUGUGCGUAUAUAUUUGCGAGGUUGAAGAAAGAAAAUACAAAUAUUUGAUAUCAUUAAAUGACAGCGUGAAUAAAAAUAUUUGUGAAGUUGUGAUGAUUAAACGAUAUUGAAAUUAUAAGUGAUAAAAAGAUAAUAAAAUUCCUUUGAAAAAAAGGUAAUAAAAUUAAAUGGAACCUCCUUAAAAAAAAUUAAAUUGAACGCUUCAAAUUAAAUGGAAGAAAAAAAUAUAUUGAAGUAUAAUAUUAAAAAAUAAAAAAAAAGGUUCCCAACGUGAAUUGAAGAGAGAUGCUUGUGAAAUAAAUUGUCGAGAAGUAGUUUUUUGAAGAAGCAUUCAACAACUUUUGGUCAAAGUUCAUUGCAUUCAAUUUUAUGCAUUAAAAAAGGUACAUUUUUUAGAAAGUACUUAAUUGAUAUUGUAUUUGACCUAACUUCUCCUUAAAAAUAUAGGGAAGUUGAAAAAAAAAACCGGGUCAAACGGUAUCUUAAUUUCCCACAACGGCAGUGUAGAAACAACUGAAUUUGGGAGAAAAAAAUUGGAAAAUAGUUAAAAAUAAAAAAAAUUGAAAAAUAGUUAAAAAAAAUCGGUGAGGUAGCACCUAACCAAACAACACUAAAAAAAAUUAUAUGCAUCAGCGUAACAAAAAAACAGACAGACGGACAUAAAAUAUUACUCUAAACGUUAAUGUGUGUGUAUAUAUUCGCGAGGUUGAAGAAAGGAAAUAAAAAUAUUUGGUAUCAUUAAAUGACAGCGUGAAUAAAAAUAUUUGUGAGGUUGUGAUGAUUAAACAAUAUUGAAAUUAAAAUAAUUAAUAUUGUGUUUGACCCAACUUCUCCUUAAAAAUUUAGAGAAGUUGGAAAAAAGUCGGGUCAAGCGAUACCUUAAUCUCCCACAACGGUAAUGUAGAAGCCACUGAAUUUGGGAGAAAAAAUUGGAAAAUAGUUAAAACUAAAAAAUAAAAAAAUCGGUGAGGUAGCACCCAACCAAGCAACACCAAAAAAAAAUUAUAUGCAUUAUCGUAACAAAAAAAUAGACAAACAGACAUAUAAUAUUACUCGAAACAUUAAUGUGUGUGUAUAUUCGCGAGGUUGAAGAAAGGAAAUAAAAAUAUUUGAUAUCAUUAAAUGACAACGUGAAUAAAUAUAUCUGUGAGGUUGUGAUGAUUAAAUAAUAUUUAAAUUAAAAUAAUUGAUAUUGUGUUUGACCUAACUUCUCCUUAAAAAUGUAGAGAAUUUGGAAAAAAGCCGGGUCAAACGAUACCUUAGUCUCCCACAACGGCAAUGUAGAAGCAACUGAAUUUGGGAGAAAAAAUUGAAAAAUAGUUAAAAACAUAAAAAUUGGAAAAUAGUUAAAAGUUAUUAAAAAUUAGAAAAUAAUUUAAAAAAUUGGUGAGGGGCAAAAUGGGAAAUUUGGCAUAAAAAAGAUGAGGUGGCACCAAACCAAACCCACCAAUUAGAAAAUUACUUAAAUGCCCAUUCCAGGGACAAAAUGGGAAUUUCAUAUGGCAUCAAUUUUAAUAGAGUAUAUAGACCACUCACAUUACACAAAUGUUGAAAUAUAUGAUGCAUAUUACUUUUUAAAUUUUUGGUUUAUAGUUGCAUUUUUUUUAGGGUUAAUAGUGUUUUUCACCCUUGUAAUAUAUGUCAUUUUCGGUUUUCGACCCUAUAAAAUUUUUAGUUUUAUUUUAACCCUCGUAAAAUUUUUAUUUUCCGGAAAAGACCCUUAAUAGGCCAUUCAAAAACCAAAAUUUCUUGAAAAAAAUUCUGAAAAUGGCCUAUUAGGGGUCUUUUCCGGAAAAUAAAAAUUAUACGAGGGACCACCUGUUGAGAAACCACCUGUACACAAGCCACCAGUUGAGAAGCUACCUGUUUACAAGCCACCUGUAGAGAAACCUCCGGUGUACAAGCCACCUGUUGAGAAGCCCCCAGUUUACAAACCUCCAGUAGAGAAGCCUCUAGUGCACAAGCCACCAGUUGAUAAACCAC